CUACACAUGCAGUCGAGCGGGAGUCACCGGGAGCUUGCUCUCGGGUGACGAGCGGCGGACGGGUGAGUAAUGUCUGGGAACUGCCUGAUGGAGGGGGAUAACUACUGGAAACGGUAGCUAAUACCGCAUAACGUCGCAAGACCAAAGUGGGGGACCUUCGGGCCUCAUGCCAUCAGAUGUGCCCAGAUGGGAUUAGCUAGUAGGUGGGGUAAUGGCUCACCUAGGCGACGAUCCCUAGCUGGUCUGAGAGGAUGACCAGCCACACUGGAACUGAGACACGGUCCAGACUCCUACGGGAGGCAGCAGUGGGGAAUAUUGCACAAUGGGCGCAAGCCUGAUGCAGCCAUGCCGCGUGUAUGAAGAAGGCCUUCGGGUUGUAAAGUACUUUCAGCGAGGAGGAAGGCAUUAAGGUUAAUAACCUUAGUGAUUGACGUUACUCGCAGAAGAAGCACCGGCUAACUCCGUGCCAGCAGCCGCGGUAAUACGGAGGGUGCAAGCGUUAAUCGGAAUUACUGGGCGUAAAGCGCACGCAGGCGGUCUGUUAAGUCAGAUGUGAAUCC
rnacentral:rRNA from 1 species